UGGUUGUUUAACGACGGAUGUGGCAAG
rnacentral:sRNA from 1 species